rnacentral:tRNA from 1 species
AGUGGUGUAGCUCAACGGCAGAGUGCUGGUGACUGGGGGUGGGAGCCCUCCUUGGAGUCAGUAAGCGGCAGCCAGUAGGAGCGGGUUCGACUCCCGUCACCGCCACCA